UACGGGGGGAGCAAGCGUUGUUCGGAUUUACUGGGCGUAAAGGGCGCGUAGGCGGCCACCGCAAGUCGAGUGUGAAAGCCCCCGGGCUUAACUUGGGAAUUGCGCUCGAAACUACGUGGCUAGAGUGUGGCAGAGGGAGGUGGAAUUCCACGUGUAGCGGUGAAAUGCGUAGAGAUGUGGAGGAACACCGAUGGCGAAGGCAGCCUCCUGGGCCAACACUGACGCUCAUGCACGAAAGCGUGGGGAGCAAACAGG
rnacentral:rRNA from 1 species